rnacentral:rRNA from 1 species
AUUGAACGCUGGCGGCAGGCCUAACGCAUGCAAGUCGAACGAGUGGCGGACGGGUGAGUAAUGUCUGGGAAACUGCCUGAUGGAGGGGGAUAACUACUGGAAACGGUAGCUAAUACCGCAUACUAUCAGAUGUGCCCAGAUGGGAUUAGCUAGUUGGUGGGGUAAAGGCUCACCAAGGCGACGAUCCCUAGCUGGUCUGCGAGGAUGACCAGCCACACUGGGACUGAGACACGGCCCAGACUCCUACGGGAGGCAGCAGUGGGGAAUCUUGCACAAUGGGCGCAAGCCUGAUGCAGCAAUGCCGCGUGUAUGAAGAAGGCCUUCGGGUUGUAAAGUACUUUCAGCGGGGAGGCGUUACCCGCAGAAGAAGCACCGGCUAACUCCGUGCCAGCAGCCGCGGUAAUUC